rnacentral:rRNA from 1 species
CUGGGCGGCAGUAGCGCGGUGGUCCCACCUGACCCCAUGCCGAACUCAGAAGUGAAACGCCGUAGCGCCGAUGGUAGUGUGGGGUUUCCCCAUGCGAGAGUAGGGAACUGCCAGGC